GAUGAACGCUAGCGGCAGGCCUAACACAUGCAAGUCGAGGGGUAGCAGGAUUAAGCUUGCUUAAUUGCUGACGACCGGCGCACGGGUGCGUAACGCGUAUGCAACCUACCUUAUACUGGGGUAUAGCCCGGCGCAAUUCGGCUUAAUCCCCCCUAGUACUAACCACUCCCAUGGGUUAUUACUUACAGCAUUCCGGCAUAAGAUGGGCAUGCGUCCUAUUAGCUAAGUGGUGAGGUAACGGCUCACCAUGGCUACGAUAGGUAGGGGGCCUGAGAGGGUGGUCCCCCACACUGGUACUGAGACACGGACCAGACUCCUACGGGAGGCAGCAGUGAGGAAUAUUGGUCAAUGGGCGCAAGCCUGAACCAGCCAUGCCGCGUGCAGGAAGAAUGCCCUAUGGGUUGUAAACUGCUUUUAUUUGGGAAUAAACCUCUCUACGUGUAGAGAGCUGAAGGUACCAAAUGAAUAAGCACCGGCUAACUCCGUGCCAGCAGCCGCGGUAA
rnacentral:rRNA from 1 species